rnacentral:rRNA from 1 species
UACAGAGGUCCCAAGCGUUGUUCGGAAUUACUGGGCGUAAAGGGCGCGUAGGCGGUACUUCAAGUCAGGCGUGAAAGCCCUGGGCUCAACCUGGGAAUGGCAUUGGAUACUGGCAACCUAGAAUGUGGUAGAGGGUGGCGGAAUUCCCGGUGUAGCAGUGAAAUGCGUAGAUAUCGGGAGGAACAUCCGUGGCGAAGGCGGCCACCUGGACCAACAUUGACGCUGAGGCACGAAAGCGUGGGGAGCAAACAGG